GACGAACGCUGGCGGCGUGCUUAACACAUGCAAGUCGAACGGUGAAGGGACUGGUUUUGCUGGUCCUGGAUGAGUGGCGAACGGGUGAGUAACACGUGAGUAACCUGCCCCCUUCUUCUGGAUAACCGCAUGAAAGUGUGGCUAAUACGGGAUAUUCUGGGUCUGUCGCAUGGUGGGCCUGGGAAAGAUUGCGCCUUUUUUGGUGUUUUUGGCGGGGGAUGGGCUCGCGGCCUAUCAGCUUGUUGGUGGGGUGAUGGCCUACCAAGGCGGUGACGGGUAGCCGGCCUGAGAGGGUGGACGGUCACACUGGGACUGAGACGCGGCCCAGACUCCUACGGGAGGCAGCAGUGGGGAAUAUUGCACAAUGGGCGCAAGCCUGAUGCAGCGACGCCGCGUGAGGGAUGGAGGCCUUCGGGUUGUGAACCUCUUUCGCCAGUGAAGCAGGCCUGCCUCUUUUUGUGGGUGGGUUGACGGUAGCUGGAUAAGAAGCGCCGGCUAACUACGUG
rnacentral:rRNA from 1 species